rnacentral:rRNA from 1 species
UACGAAGGGGGCUAGCGUCGUUCGGAUUUACUGGGCGUAAAGGGCGCGUAGGCGGCUUAACAAGUCACUUGUGAAAUCUCCGGGCUUAACUCGGAACGGCCAAGUGAAACUGUCAAGCUAGAGUGCAGAAGGGGCAAUCGGAAUUCUUGGUGUAGCGGUGAAAUGCGUAGAUAUCAAGAGGAACACCUGAGGUGAAGACGGGUUGCUGGGCUGACACUGACGCUGAGGCGCGAAAGCCAGGGGAGCAAACGGG